rnacentral:rRNA from 1 species
AGGGUUUGAUCCUGGCUCAGAGUGAACGCUGGCGGCGUGCUUAACACAUGCAAGUCGAACGGUAUGUGGCAACACAUAGAGUGGCGAACGGGUGAGUAACACGUGGGAACGUACCAUCUGCAGGGGGAUAACUGACCGAAAGGACAGCUAAUACCGCAUAAGUCCGGAAGGAGAAAGGUGCAAUAGCAUCGGCAGAAGAGCGGCCCGCGGUCCAUCAGCUAGUUGGUGAGGUAAGGGCUUACCAAGGCGACGACGGAUAGCCGGCGUGAGAGCGUGGCCGGCCACAAGGACACUGAGAUACGGGUCCUACUCCUACGGGAGGCAGCAGUGCGGAAUUUUAGAUAAUGGAGGGAACUCUGAUCUAGCGACGCCGCGUGCAGGAAGAAGGUCUUCGGAUUGUAAACUGCUGUGGUAAGGGAAAAAUGCUAUGUAGAGUGGAAAGCUACAUAGAGGGAUGGUACCUUACUAGAAAGCCCCGGCUAACUACGUGCCAGCAGCCGCGGUAAUACGUAGGGGGCGAGCGUUACCCGGAAUCACUGGGCGUAAAGGGAGCGUAGGUGGCCUAACAUGUCAACUGUGAAAACCCGGAGCUCAACUCCGGACUUGCAGUUGAAACUGGUAGGCUUGAGGACGGUAGAGGAAGACGGAACUGCCAGUGUAGGGGUAAAAUCCUUAGAUAUUGGCAGGAACGCCGGUGACGAAGGUGGUUUUCUGGGCCGGUUCUGACACUGAUGCUCGAAAGCCAGGGGAGCGAACGGGAUUAGAUACCCCGGUAGUCCUGGCCCUAAACGAUGUUCACUAGGUGUGGGGAGCGGAAAGCUCUCCGUGCUAAAGCUAACGCGAUAAGUGAACCGCCUGGGGAGUACGCCCGCAAGGGUGAAACUCAAAGGAAUUGACGGGGACCCGCACAAGCGGUGGAGCGUGUGGUUUAAUUCGAUGCUAAGCGAAGGACCUUACCAAGGUUUGACAUGCUAAUGGUAGUGAAUUGAAAGAGGAACGACCACACUAUGUGUGG